UGCUGAGCUGCUGUGGGCUCCGCUCAUCUGCUAUGUAAACUUCCUUAUGGUUUUGCUUACACAGGCAUGGUUAGAGCUGCCUCGGUAAUGGCGACUGCCUCGGUAAUGGCGGACGCCUUUCCCCCCACCAAGCUGGACUGUUGCAGGUCAGGCUCAAACUGUUGUGCUGGCAGUGAAAAUCUUGAGCCAGUGGGUUUCAGCUUGCUGGUCUUUGUGGGGGUGGGACCCGCCGAGCCAUAUCACUGCUCCCUACCUUCAGCCCGCCUUUUUUAGGGAAAUGGGCCGUUCUGUCUUGCAGGUGUUCCAGGCGUGAGGUAAAAUGGUGGCCCAGCAUGCUGCUGGAAACCCACACGGCACUGGUGGGAAUCUCCUGUGUGGACUGUAAAGACCAUGGGAAAAGCGCACUAUAUGAGCUGGAGUGCCAGAGUGUCCAGCGAAGUCCCUGAUGGCCUCCCUUGGGUAGGAUAGGGAGUCUUUCAGUCCCUUGCACUUCAUGGGUGAGGCAACACCCCACCCUGCCUCGGUUUGCCUUCCUUGGGCUACACUCACUGUCCAACGAGUCCCAUUGAGAUGAACCUGGUACCUCAGUUGGAAAUGUGAAGAUCACUCGCCUUUGCGUUGCUCUUGCUGGGAACUGUGCUCCAGAGCUGAUCCUAUUCGGCCAUCUUAUUUUGAUAUGAUUUACAGCUUACCUUCUCACUGAAAGUGUUUCUAAACCUCUAACAUGUGUUUCUUUAGCUUAACAGAAAUCUUCCUCACUAAUUGUACUUGAACUUUUGAAAUAAGUUAUUACGACUAAAAGUUAAUGAAAACAAUUGUAAUUUUGGAAUGUGCUUUUUACCUUCACAUGCCAUUGUAGGCAUUUUGGGUGAUGUCCCUCUCUGGACGAUUGAGAACAUUGCUUCCUGAGUUAGGCACUGUGGAGAGAGAGUGAACCCUUACUGUCCUUGGUUGUCUUUGUUUUCAGAUGGGAUAACUGCAAUCCAGGGAGGUUAAGUGACUUCCCCAAGGACACACAGGCAGUUAAUGAUAAUGUGAGGUCACUCAGUUCUGGUUUCCUCUCCAGUGCCCUUUGAAGUGCCAUUUUUCUUCACACUUCAUUCAUUCAGAUUGCUAUACUACUUAGAUUUUCUUCUCUCUCCUGACAGCAUACUGCAUUAAAACCAUUAUUCAUGAAAUAGGUACCCUUGGUAAUUGUAUGCAUGGGAACAUUAUCAUAUUUUCCCAAGGAAGAACUUGCACUGAGGUCACAUGUAUCUAAAAGUACACUGGUCUCGAAGUUAAGCUUUUUCUUCAGUAGUUUUGUGUUCAAUUAAAUACACAAGAAGAACCAGCUACAGCUUUGAUUUAUAGCAGGGCCUUUCAUUUGAAUGAUAAGUACACCCAUGAUAGGCUUCCUUGGUCCUGUUCCAGAAUUGUCUAUUUUAUCUUUUGCAGCAGCUUUAGAAUAUAUCCUCAUUUCAGAGAAUGGUAAUUUACUUCUUGUUAACUCCCAGCCCAUUAAGAUUAAAAGAUACUUCCUUAGGGGUUAUGGCCUUUAUUCUUGCCAAGAUGGGUUAGCCUGCUAAGUGUUCUACUCAAGCAUAUUUUCCCACCCUCUUGCCUCCCUAGGUAGAUGCAUUGACCAGCUGGUUUUAUUCAUCCUUCUCUUUCCAGGACAUGGCAUCUUGCCUGACACAUUGUAGGCACUUUACAAAUGUUAUUUCUGUGCUCUUCUUCUCUUCCAGAAGCAAGACUUUGGUUGAGAGUUAGGUGUCUCAUGGGACACCUAAAUUUGCUAAUCUGCAUUCUAUAACUUCACUCUCCCCUGGUUUUCUCCCCCGCUCUUUGGCUCUGCUUAACCCUGUUGCUGAGAGAACAUGUAAGAGCUAGUUCUAAGGUAAGGUUGUAAAAGCUCUGGUCAAAAAAAUACUUGAGGUAUUGGAGAAACUAUACCCCCUUUCUCUGCUACCUGAUUGAAGAAAUGGUACCUGAGAUUUCUUUAAAAAGAAAAAAUUGAAAGUUACCCUAAUGAGCAGAAUUGUCGUGAACAGAUGCGUUGCAUUAUCUAAUACAGUUUUCAUGGGCAGUUCCAUUUUACACAUGAGAAAACAAAUGGAAGCACAGAGAUUGCAGUGGCUUGCCGGUGAUCACACAGUGAAGAAAUAGCCUAAUCACCACACCAGCCUGCCUCCAGGGGGCACUGCUGUUUCAGAGCCAACACCAAAUGAAAAGACAGAAGAUGUUUUUGAGCGUGUAAAUGCAGUGUGCGGGGCUGGGUGAGUUUUCCAAAGGUUAGCUCUGCAGUUUUGGAAUGCAAGAUCACAUUAGAAAGCUAGCGAAGCCUGGAGAAAAACACUCAACAAAUCAUGACUCCGCAGAACAACCUUAUGACAUCCAGAGAGCUCUUUUCUGAACACCAUGUUGCAAUCCUGAUGGAGCCAGGGCUCUUUGGCUCUGCUGGUCACAUUCUGGGCUAGUGGGCGCCUGUGAAGCAGGUGCAUACAGAAUUAAACAGAAUCAGAGCAGGUUGGCUCUAGCAUGUUGCACUGUCAGUGGACGCUAUUAAUGAGCCCUUGGUGAUUUGAAAAUAGAGUCAUGCCAGAGGCAAAUGAGGAACUGUGCAUGGACUCAGGCUCUUCUGUCUCCCCUACUGAAUUCUGACCUUGUGGUGUGUGAAGGUGGCUCUGGCAUCUACCUCUAUUAGAGAGACCAGUGUGUGUGAGGGAAGCUUGUUGGACCUGUGCAUGAUUUUCAAGCCCCACUGAGCCAUCACCUUUGAGGGAGAAAAGCGUCCAGCAUAGUGUUCCCAAAGUGUGAGGAGCCCCGGGGUGUGUGUGGGGUGGGCGAUGCCUGUGGGGAUGGUGGUAAGGCACAGGAAGAGCUUCAAGGGUGGCAAUAAAUAAAGUCAAGCAAAGAGUACACGAUGUGUAAGUUUUAAACACUUGGAUUCACCAAGUAGCAGAAGUGGGAGCAGACCAGGAAGAGUAUCUUAAGGACCUGAGGCCAGGAGCAAGCUACCAUCCCCGUGGUUGAAGGGAGCAGCAGGAACAAUGCUGUGGGCACGGCUCCAACAGCAAUACCCCAUGUACCAUGUAAGGACCUCCACGUGGGAAGGGCCAUUUCGGAAACUUGGUUACCUGGGAAUCCAAAAACAUUUUCCUCUUGCUUCACAAGUGUAGAACUCAUUUUGAACAAGCAUCCAUACAAAGUUGUGUUUUUAUUAUUUUAUUUUAUUUUUUGCCUCUUUGAGCCAAACUUAUGUACUUUGGAAUUAUUAAAAUAGGGGAUGUCAUUCUGGGAUUGAUCCAUUCUGUGGCAAAACACUCGUUUUUCAGGGUUUCUUUGGCCUAAAAUUCUGUUAAAAGCCAAGCAUGAAAGAUGACUUGUACAAAAUUAUGGCCCCCAAAGAAAUUUUCUGUCUGGUGGGGCAGACAAGAGACAUGUACCAUCAACUGUGGCACAAGGUAGACUUCAGUGAGAGCUGUGAUCAAAGUACAGGAGUAACAAGGAAAGAGGGAGAAAGAUUAACUCUCGCUCAGGGGGUUUGAGAAUGUUGUUUUCUUAUCUCUGUUUCAUUUCUUCAUUCUUUUCCUGUAGCUGCCUAAAUGUGGAUGUUCCAAAAUUCUGCCUUUUCUUUCUUGUGUGUUGACUCUGGUGGAAAUCCUAACAAUUCUCCUGGCUUCUCUUUUGGCCUCUGCCUUUUUUAUUUUUUACUGUGGUAAAUACAUAUAAUGUGAGAUCUACUGUCUUAAAAAUUGUAAGUGUCUGGGAAAGUAUGGUUAACUGUAAGCAUAGUUGUGCAGCAGAUCUCUGGAACUUUUUCAUCUUGUACAAAUGAAACUGUACCCAUUGAACAGUGACUCCUUGUCUCCCCAUUUCUCCUGCCCCUGGCAACCAUCAUUCUACUUUCUGUUUCUAAGAGUUUGACUACUCUAGGUACCUCAUGUACGUGGCAUCAUACACUGUUUGUCUUUUUGUGAGGACUUACUUCACUUGACAUAAUAUCCUUAUGUUAGUGGCAUAAUUCAGUGUUUGUCUCUUUGUGACUGACUUAUUUCACUUGGUGUAAUAUCCUCAAGGCUCAUCCGUGUGUUGCGUAUUGCAGAAUUUUCUUCUUUGAUAUGGCUGAAUAAUAUUCCAUUGAAUGUAUGUACCACAUUUUGUUUGUUCAUUCAUUCAUCGAUACAUACUUAGGUUGUUUCCAUAUCUUGGCUGUUGUGAAUAAUGCUGCAGUGAAUAUGGGAGUGUAAAUAUCUCUUCAGGACCCUGGCUUCAAUCCUUUGGAUAAAUACCCAGAAGUGGGAUUGCUGGGCCAUGCGGUAGUUCUAUUUUUAAUUUUUUGAGGAACCCGUAUACUCUUUUCUGUAAUAGCUGAACUAUUUUACAUCCCUACCAGCAGCGUACAAGAGUUCUAAUUUCUCCACAUCCUUGCCAACAUUUGUGGUUUUCUGUGUUUUGGAAAUUGGACAUCCUCGUGAGUGUGCAGUAAUAUUUCGUUGAAGUUUUGAUUUGUGUUUCCCUGAUGAUUAGUGAUGUUGAGUAUAUUUUCAUAUGCCCGUUGGCCAUUUUUAUGUCUUCUUUAGAGAAAUGUCUGUUUAAGUCUUUUGCCCAGUUUUUAAUUGGGUUGUUUUUUUGCUAUUGCGUUCUAGGGAGUCUUUGAGACUUUGACCCCAAAUCUCCAUGCCCUUACCUAAUGAACUCUACCCUCAUGUCUUCUGCUACUCCUCAGUUUGAUCCUUCUGUCCCAGCAAGUAAACUUCUCCCCACUCCCCUACUCCCUCGCUCAGCUCUUGCCACCCUCCUUUUGGUUUCUGAAAGAUAUUUAGACCCAACUCUGACAUAUCUUAAAAAUCCAGGUCAAGUUGAGUUUUCUGUGAAUUCUUCACUGACCACCCAGCGUUUGCUCUCCCUCUGCUGAGGUCUCUAGUAUUUGUCUCUGUUGCUUUUGGGGCAUUUGGCAGGGACUACUGUCAUGCAUUGAAAUGGAUAUUACAUGUGGGUAUAUUUUGUAUUAACUGAACUACCACCUUGUGAAGGGAAGAGAUUGUGUGUCCUCCAGAGGAUCUUACAGAGCCCUUGCCAUGCUGUAAAGAGGCAGGAAUCCUUAGAAAGGUGUGUGCGUGUGUG